GUACAAGGGACAAGCUUGUCUGCCGCUUGUUACCCUUCAUGCCCUUUCCUGGUAACUGGUGACCUUUAACCCCCAGCAGAUCCCGGUUGCUUAGAGACUCCCACGAUGUGGGAGCCUGUGGAGAUGUACUGAUAGUGAUUCUAGGACGUGUGUGCUUGUCCUAGAGCUCUAGAAACAACUACUGUAGAAAAUUUCUGGAAAUUCUACUAGGGACAGAAUCAUUAGGUAACAAAGGUGAUUUAUGUCUUGUUGAGCUAUCAUUUCCCAGAUCUGUUGGAGCAUCAGCGUCAUCUGCCUUUCCUAUGCGUUGGUAACAAGAGGAGCGUCAGCAUCACGCUGAGCAUUAUACAUCAUCAGCAUCAGCAUCAGCAUCGGCAUCGGCAUCGUGACCACUUGGGCACAGGGAGUGCUCCUGUUCCAGGCACUCUGCUUAAAAGCUUUCUGGCCGUUAUGUCAUGCCAUCUGAGCAGCAGUCCUGUGAGGACAAGCAAUUCUGUGUUCAGUCUGGGCCCAGCAAGCAGGAAGCAGAGCAAGUUGAACAUUUAACCCGAGAUCCUCAUGAGACAAGCAAUUUGUGAAGGUGCCAUAUGGGUGGUCUCAUCUUUUACACGUAAGAUAGCCUUUCCAUCAUUGUCCAUUCACAGGAUUUAAUGGAAUAUUUUGCUUGGUAUAUUUUGUUCAACUAUGUAAGAUUACCACUAAGACCUUCCCUGACUGCAAGCUCUCAGGACCAUGUAGAUGGAAACAUGGCAGCAUGCAGACAUGGUGCUGGAAGAGGAGCUUCCGUGAGUUGUACAUUUGGAUCUGCAGGAAUCAGGAAGAGAACUGUGAGCUACUAGAUCUAGAUUGAACUUCUGAGACCUCGAAGCCCACUCCUUAGUGAUGCACUUCUUCCAACAAGACCAUAACUAUUUGAACAAGGCCACAUUUCCUAAUAGUGCCACUCCUUAUGCGGAGGCUAUGGGGGUUAAUUUUAUUCAAACCACUACAAUAGUAUAUAGAGUUACUUAUCAUACCUAAUGUCAGGUAAACAUUAUAUAAACAUAUUAUACUUUGUUAUUAAGAGAAUAAAACCAAAAAUGAAUGCAUUC